UACGGGGGGGGCAAGCGUUGUUCGGAAUUACUGGGCGUAAAGGGCUCGUAGGCGGUCCACUAAGUCAGACGUGAAAUCCCUCAGCUUAACUGGGGAACUGCGUCUGAUACUGGAUGGCUUGGAUUCGGGAGAGGAAUGCGGAAUUCCAGGUGUAGCGGUGAAAUGCGUAGAUAUCUGGAGGAACACCGGUGGCGAAGGCGGCAUUCUGGACCGAUAUUGACGCUGAGGAGCGAAAGCCAGGGGAGCAAACGGG
rnacentral:rRNA from 1 species